rnacentral:rRNA from 1 species
CCUACGGGAGGCAGCAGUGAGGAAUAUUGGACAAUGGGCGCAAGCCUGAUCCAGCCAUGCCGCGUGCAGGAAGACGCAUCUAUGGUGUGUAAACUGCUUUUGUACGGGAAGAAACACUCCUUCGUGAAGGAGCUUGACGGUACCGUAAGAAUAAGGAUCGGCUAACUCCGUGCCAGCAGCCGCGGUAAUACGGAGGAUCCAAGCGUUAUCCGGAAUCAUUGGGUUUAAAGGGUCCGUAGGCGGUUUAAUAAGUCAGUGGUGAAAUCUGGUCGCUCAACGAUCAAACGGCCAUUGAUACUGUUAGACUUGAAUUACUAGGAAGUAACUAGAAUAUGUAGUGUAGCGGUGAAAUGCUUAGAUAUUACAUGGAAUACCAAUUGCGAAGGCAGGUUACUACUAGUGGAUUGACGCUGAUGGACGAAAGCGUGGGGAGCGAACAGGAUUAGAUACCCUGGUAGUCCACGCCGUAAACGAUAGGAUACUAGCUGUUGGGCGCAAGUUCAGUGGCUAAGCGAAAGUGAUAAGUAUCCCACCUGGGGAGUACGUUCGCAAGAAUGAAACUCAAAGGAAUUGACGG